CAUUUUUCCCAUACACGCUAUCCGUAUACAAUACUUUUCGCAUCAGAAAAGAUGUUUCGAUUCUGAUAGGCAUCCUGAAACUGUGCUCGCUUGCAUAAUAAACUUUUCUCAAUUCUUUCAUCAUUUUCCUAUAAUACGAACAAGAAAGUAUCAUAGUCAUAAGAUCAUUACUUAUUAUUUUCUUAUUUCUUUUUUUUUUUAUUUGCAAAAGAUUGGCGUGCUUGUACUCUAGAAAGGAUAUAUUCCUGGAGGCAUACCUUCACCAAUGAAAGGAUUCUGCAUUAGAAGUUUAUGUUGAAAUGAUAUCUAGACGGAGUACAAAGAAAUAUACUGUCUCUCGAAAUCUUCAUUAUACCAACGGAGAGACGGACAUUUAUAUUCUCUAGACGGAAUUCUUCUAUUCGGCUCCUCGGAAAUUGCGUAUCUUAAAGAAAGUAAUAGCGGUCUCACCGUGCGAAGAAAGAAAGUAGAUUGUACGCCAGUAGUAAAUAUCGCACGAGAAAGAACGUCUAUUCUUGGGGAUUAUACGUUAUAGCAUAUGGUGCCUCGAGUUUCGCUUGAAACUUGUUUUCAUCGUAUGAUUGGAGAGAGGAGAAAGGAAGAUGACCGAACCCAUUUUCGCAGCCUGAGGCUACAUCACAAAAGGAAGCUGGAUAAUCAAAAAGUAUAAUCAUUUCGAAAGAAAAAGAGUCUUCUUAAGAAACGACCUAGCAAGAUACAGAAAGUCAUAAAACAUAAACCCAAUCGUUUUUGUAAAAGGAUAUUGAUUUUUUACGAUAUAAAAAUAUAGUUCUACGAUUCUUUCUCCCAUCCAUGAAGUGAGCGUUUUUCUUGGCAAGUAAGAUUGUUCAGCGAGGCACUUCGCCGGUGAAUGGAAUCUAACGUCCGAUACUUUCGCAGGCAUCCAGCUCUGUAUGCUUUCGUUUUGCACUUCUUAACCGGAAGUCUCGAGGCCGGUGUAACCGAACAUUUUCAACGAUCGUGGCUUGAUGUAAUUCGCAAUUUUAUAUUGUUAUUACCUAUUUUGAUAUUUGUAUUUAUUAGAAAAAUAACGAAAGCAGGCGUGGGAGAUAGUCCAAUAAGAUAUAGUCAAUUAUUAUCUUGACUGUACGUUGUAUAAUAAUUUAAAAAGAAAAUUUUAUGAAAUUCGAUAAGAAUAUACGUAAGAUAGAAAGUAUAUCGGAACGAUCGUGUUUGAAAAAAAU